rnacentral:pre_miRNA from 1 species
ACAACAUUCGGACCGUCGGUCUACUGAGCAAUCUCACCCGCUCAUUGGAAGAUCCUCCUUUCGUCCG